CCUACGGGAGGCAGCAGUGAGGAAUAUUGGUCAAUGGACGAGAGUCUGAACCAGCCAAGUAGCGUGAAGGAUGACUGCCCUAUGGGUUGUAAACUUCUUUUAUAUGGGAAUAAAAUGUUCCACGUGUGGGAUUUUGUAUGUACCAUAUGAAUAAGGAUCGGCUAACGCCGUGCCAGCAGCCGCGGUAAUACGGAGGAUCCGAGCGUUAUCCGGAUUUACUGGGUGUAAAGGGAGCGUAGGUGGAAUGUUAAGUCAGUUGUGAAAGGUUAGGGCUCAACCGUAAAAUUGCAGUUGAAACUGGAAGUCUUGAGUACAGUAGAGGUAGGCGGAAUUCGUGGUGUAGCGGUGAAAUGCUUAGAUAUCACGAAGAACUCCGAUUGCGAAGGCAGUUCACUGGACUGCAACUGACACUGAGGCUCGAAAGUGUGGGUAUCAAACAGGAUUAGAUACCCGAGUAGUC
rnacentral:rRNA from 1 species